rnacentral:rRNA from 1 species
AUGGCACAGGUAGACAUCCCUGUAUUUCGGUUCGCGCACCACGGCAACGUCGACCGCAUGUGGAAUGUCUGGCGCUGCCUCGGCCACACCGACUUCACUGACACCGACUGGCUUGACAGUAACUUUCUGUUUUAUGACGAGGAGGCCCGCCUUGUCCGCGUCCACGUCCGGGACUGCCUCGACACGCUGGCCUUACGCUACACUUACCAGGACGUCCCUCUGCCGUGGUUGACCGCCAAACCAACUGAUGCAGGAGAUACCAACACUCCGGUUGCCCCGACCACGGGGGUUCUCCCGGCUGUCUUGGACGGGAUUGUGCGGGUGGACGUGCCUAGGACCAAGGUCUCCAGGAGCCGCUUCCAGAAGGACGACGAGGAGGAGGUGCUGAUCGUCGAGGGGAUCGAGAUCGCAGACAGCUCCAAGUACGUCAAGUUCGAUGUGCAUGUGAACGCGCCACAACACGAACAACUCAACGCGGCUCACGCACAGUUUGCUGGCAGUGUGGUGCUCCUGCCGCACAUGUCCGGGCAACACGAGGGCAAGACCAAGAUGUUGGCCAAGUUCGGCAUCUCCGACUUAUUGGACUCCAUCCGAGCGGACGGCGACAAGAAAAUCAUCGUCUCGCUUGUGCCGAGAAGCGCGGGUGAGGUGGUCACUAUGGGAGCCGUCCGCAUCGGCUACAUCAAGUGA